GAAAUCUACUAUAAUUCAGGUUGGUUUAUCUAAUUUAGGGUAAUACAACAGAUUUGAACUUAUAGCACGCUUUCCUGUUUUUACUCAACCUUUUAUAGUACAGGGUUCUUAAAAAUUUUUGAAAAGAAUGUCCACAAAAAGUUUGAGUUAUACCCUUUACCUUUAGUAACAAAAGGUUAGUAGAAAGCAAGACAUUUAAGUAUUACCAAGAAUCUAACUUAUCUCCAUAAUUUCUUUCAUAUAUUCAUUUGCUUACUUGUGACACAGAGUCCCACUAACUCAGAAGCAUUCUCUAAGCUGGCCUCUCACUGGCUCUGAGACUGUUGCUGCCACACAGUUCUAAUUCCCAUUUGGAAAGGAAAGAGGAAGUACAGGAGAAGGAGGGUCAUGCAGGGCCACAUCCAAUCAAAACUCUCACAAAACCUUGAGAAACAGGGCAAGAUAUCCCUUCCAGGCAAGAUAUCCUUUACAGAAGAAAAGUUCUGGAGAACUUAAGGCAGCUCUAGAAGGGAAGGGAGCAAGGGUUAAGGCGGCCCUCACAGCACAGCCUGAGAACAAAUUACAAUGCACUCAUCCAUGAACAGAGGUCACGGCAAUACAGAUCCUCUUCAACGCGCAUGCACACGACACCCCUCCUAGCACCCAUCAACACCUACGGCAUGCACACACUGCAGUGCCCACGCACACACUGACUUGUAUAUGGCCUGCCCAGUGACAGCCCUCAGAAGGUACCCAGUGACUUGGGCUCCCCUGUGCUGAGGACCUAAACUGGGAAGGUGGCCUAUAGCUGCUGGCCUGUCCAGGCUGCACAGCUCACCUGGUGGUUCCAAUAAAGACUCUGAUGGGUGUGUGGAGAGUAACUUUCCUCUUAAUUUCAGAGAGGCUUUUGCUGUUUCCUGUCUUUUUGGUUGAGACAACCUGCUACCAAUUAAUGCCCAAACAGAGUAUUGCAUCCUCCCAGAGAGCACUGAUUCAUGACAGAAGUCAAGCUGAGUUAUAGCAAGUAACUAUGACAAAAAAGAAAACCACCUGGCGCUGAGCACUUGGUCUCCUUAAAACAAGUAACUUGGUACUCAGCACUUGCUCGGUUCCCACAUGCCAGCUGCCAACUCUGAUAAAAAAGCACCCCUUGCUGGCCAGGGGCAUUCCACACAUACCAGGAGGGGCAGCACGUGACCUCACGACAUUUUUAAAGUCUCCUGCCUCACAGGUGCCCACACCACCACUGCUCCAUAUGGGAAAGCAGGACAGCCGGAGGGCUGUGCGACAUCAGGCAAGUCACUGCCCCUAUCUCUAUUCCCAAGCUAUCAUCAGAAAUGAUUGUAGAAGCGACCCCACCUACCGUCCAUGCUGCUGUGAGGAUGAAACGAGGUAACAGAGGAAAGCGCCGCAGGAAAGCAUAUCUGGACCCAGAGGAAUUAAGAAAAAGUUGAUGACU
rnacentral:lncRNA from 1 species